CGGUUCACAGCGAGGGAGACUUCCCGUUCGCUCUCCCAUAGACAAGCUUAUGAGCGGCAGAUUAGUAGUUGGGUCGGUGACGACCAGCGAACACCGGCUGUUGUAUGUA